rnacentral:rRNA from 1 species
ACCCGCUGAACUUAAGCAUAUCAAUAAGCGGAGGAAAAGAAACCAACAGGGAUUGCCCUAGUAACGGCGAGUGAAGCGGCAUCAGCUCAAAUUUGAAAUCUGGCUCUUUUAGGGUCCGAGUUGUAAUUUGCAGAGGGCGCUUUGGCAUAGGCAGCGAUUCAAGUUCCUUGGAACAGGACGUCACAGAGGGUGAGAAUCCCGUACGUGGUCGCUAGCUCUUGCCGUGUAAAGCCCCUUCGACGAGUCGAGUUGUUUGGGAAUGCAGCUCUAAAUGGGAGGUAAAUUUCUUCUAAAGCUAAAUAUUGGCCAGAGACCGAUAGCGCACAAGUAGAGUGAUCGAAAGAUGAAAAGUACUUUGGAAAGAGAGUCAAAAAGCACGUGAAAUUGUUGAAAGGGAAGCGCUUGCAGCCAGACUUGCCUGUAGUUGCUCAUCCGGGCUCUUGCCCGGUGCACUCUUCUGUAGGCAGGCCAGCAUCAGUUUGGGCGGUUGGAUAAAGGUCUCUGUCAUGUACCUCUCUUCGGGGAGGCCCUAUAGGGGAGGCGACAUACAACCAGCCUGGACUGAGGUCCGCGCAUUCGUGCUAGGAUGCUGGCGUAAUGGCUGU